UGUCUUGGUAGAGGGCGUUAAAGCUCAUUUAUUUAAAUAAAACAUAAAUAAUUUUUGUUGAGUGCUCUAAGUUGUAAAUUAUUAUAGAAGAAUUCCAUGUAGAUUGGAAGCUAUAAUGUUGGAAUUAGUAGAGGAAUAAAAAUAUUUUUUGUGUAUUAAUCAAUCCUAACAUUGGAAAUGGAACAAUGGCUUGUAUCGAGAAGUUGGUUUGCAGGGGAUUGUCUACUAACACAAGUAGUAUUGAAGUUAGUAAAAUUAAGGGAAAGGAACUCGGCAAAAAAGUAUUUNNNNNNNNNNNNNNNNNNNNCGCCUUUUGAAAAGAUUCUAAGGUAUAAAAGGUCUUGCCUGCCCAGUGACUUUAGUUAAACGGCCGCGGUAUUUUGACCGUGCAAAGGUAGCAUAAUCAUUUGCCUCUUAAAUGGGGGCUGGUAUGAAUGGUAAGACGGAAAUAAUGCUGUCUCUCUCUUAUAUCUUGAAAUUAAUAUUCUUGUGAAGAAGCAGGAAUAAGGUCGCAGGACGAGAAGACCCUAUCGAGCUUUUAGUAGAAGAAAGGUGUAGUUAUUUUUUAUGUUUCUGUUGCUAAUUAACUGCUAGAGGUGGUACUAAAUUUACUACAGAAGUGAGGAUAUUGUGCGUUUUAUGCUUAGGUUGGGGCAACCGCGGAGGAAAUUUACCUUCCGUUAGUUUUGCUGAAAAAAUUUGCUUUUUCAGUGCAAGAUUUGUGUAAUAAGUGAUCCAUCUUAGUGGUGAUCAAAAGAAUAAGUUACCGUAGGGAUAACAGCGUAAUUUUUUUGGAGAGUUCAUAUUGAUAAAAAAGUUUGCGACCUCGAUGUUGGAUCGGGAUUUCCUGGGGAUGCAGCAGUUCCUAAGGGUUGGUCUGUUCGACCAUUAAAAUCCU
rnacentral:rRNA from 1 species